rnacentral:rRNA from 1 species
GACGAACCGUACAAACGUUACUCGGAAUUACUGGGCUUAAAGGGUGCGUAGGCUGCGCGGAAAGUUGGGUGUGAAAUCCCUCAGCUCAACUGGGGAAUUGCAUUCAAAACUGCCGUGCUAGAGGGAGACAGAGGUAAGCGGAACUCAAGGUGGAGCGGUGAAAUGCGUUGAUAUCUUGAGGAACACCGGUGGCGAAGGCGGCUUACUGGGUCUCUUCUGACGCUGAGGCACGAAAGCUAAGGUAGCAAACGGGAUUAGAUACCCCGGUAGUCUUAGCUGUAAACGAUGAGCACUUGAUUGAAGGGUCCUCCAUAGCCUUUCAGUCGUAGCGAAAGUGUUAAGUGCUCCGCCUGGGGAGUAUGGUCGCAAGGCUG